GAUGAACGCUGGCGGCGUGCCUAAUACAUGCAAGUCGAGCGAAACUUCUUUAUCACCGAGUGCUUGCACUCACCGAUAAAGAGUUAAGUGGCGAACGGGUGAGUAACACGUGGGCAACCUGCCCAAAAGAGGGGGAUAACACUUGGAAACAGGUGCUAAUACCGCAUAACCAUAGUUACCGCAUGGUAACUAUGUAAAAGGUGGCUAUACUACCGCUUUUGGAUGGGCCCGCGGCGCAUUAGCUAGUUGGUAGGGUAAAGGCUUACCAAGGCAAUGAUGCGUAGCCGAAUUGAGAGGUUGAUCGGCCACAUUGGGACUGAGGCACGGCCCAAACUCCUACGGGAGGCAGCAGUAGGGAAUCUUCCACAAUGGGCGAAAGCCUGAUGGAGCAACGCCGCGUGGGUGAAGAAGGUCUUCGGAUCGUAAAACCCUGUUGUUAGAGAAGAAAGUGCGUGAGAGUAACUGUUCACGUUUCGACGGUAUCUAACCAGAAAGCCACGGCUAACUACGUG
rnacentral:rRNA from 1 species